GAAUCUUGGACAAUGGGCGAAAGCCUGAUCCAGCAAUGCCGCGUGCAGGAUGAAGGCCUUCGGGUUGUAAACUGCUUUUGUACGGAACGAAAAGCUUUGGGUUAAUACCCUGGAGUCAUGACGGUACCGGAAGAAAAAGCACCGGCGACCUCCGUGCCAGCCGCCGCGGUAAUACGGAGGGGGCAAGCGUUAAUCGGAAUUACUGGGAGUAAAGCGUGCGCAGGCGGUUUAGUAAGACAGAGGUGAAAUCCCCGGGCUCAACCUGGGAACUGCCUUUGUGACUGCAAGGCUAGAGUACGGCAGAGGGGGGUGGAAUUCCGCGUGUAGCAGUGAAAUGCGUAGAUAUGCGGAGGAACACCGAUGGCGAAGGCAACCCCCUGGGCCUGUACUGACGCUCAUGCACGAAAGCGUGGGGAGCAAAC
rnacentral:rRNA from 1 species